AUUGAACGCUGGCGGCAGGCCUAACACAUGCAAGUCGAACGAGCGGCGGACGGGUGAGGAAUGUAUGGGGAUAUGCCCGAUAGAGGGGGAUAACUACUGGAAACGGUGGCUAAUACCGCAUACUCCCGGAUGAACCUAUAUGGGAUUAGCUAGUAGGUGGGGUAAAGGCUCACCUAGGCGACGAUCUCUAGCUGGUCUGAGAGGAUGACCAACCAAACGGGAACGGAGACACGGCCCAAACUGCUACGGGAGGCAGCAGUGGGGAAUAUUGCACAAUGGGCGGAAGCCUGAUGCAGACAUGCCGCGUGUAUGAAGAAGGCCUUCGGGUUGUAAAGUACUUUCAGCGGGGAGGCGUUACCCGCAGAAGAAGCACCGGCUAACUCCGUGCCAGCAGCCGCGGUAAUUC
rnacentral:rRNA from 1 species